GGGCGCGGUAAAUGGCGCUCUGAGUACUUUCUGUCUCAGUCCGGCUGGCCGCUCACGCGUCGGGCCCCCAUUUACUCUCGUUACUGAGGAGACACGGCUCCAGUUUUGACCCGACUACGGUUGUUUUCUUCGUGUGUACCGCGAAAUGCUGAUGACGUCCGGUUCCGCGCAGUUUUUUUCCUAUUUCGUUUCCAACCACAGUUGUGCGGUUCACAGAUUUUUCCCUUGGGAUGUGUUUUCCAUACCUCCAAGCCCACUCUCAGAGCCUUGGGGCCCCAUAAAACUUCAUGCGCAGCUGCUUUCUGCUAUUAGAAAUGUCCAUCAGCUUACGAGGAGAUUCUCCCUCAUCUCACAAACUACCUGCAUCUCCACUUCCCUGGAAGAAAAAAAAAAUCUGGACAUACCCAAGCUGUGUAUGUGCCUGAGAUCUUCCCUUCCAAGGUAAAGAGAGAGCCUGAGACAGGUCUAAAUUAGCAUCUGGACUUUCUGCUAGUAAAGAAAAGGAAAUAUGGGAAACUAAAUAGUAACAUUAAAGGACCCACAAAGGGACUACUGGGUAAGUGCUAUAAUGGAU
rnacentral:lncRNA from 1 species